rnacentral:misc_RNA from 1 species
GAUGAAGAACGUAGUGAAAUGCGACAAGUAAUGUGAAUUGCAGAAUUCAGUGAAUCAUCGAAUCUUUGAACGCACAUUGCGCCCCCUGGUAUUCCGGGGGGCAUGCCUGUCCGAGCGUCAUUACAACCCUCAAGCUCAGCUUGGUGUUGGGCCCCGCCGCCCCGGCGGGCCCUAAAGUCAGUGGCGGUGCCGUCCGGCUCCGAGCGUAGUAAUUCUUCUCGCUCUGGAGGUCCGGUCGUGUGCUCGCCAGCAACCCCCAAUUUUUUUCAGGUUGACCUCGGAUCAGGUAGGGAUACCCGCUGAACUUAAGCAUAUCAAUAAGCGGAGGA